rnacentral:rRNA from 1 species
GAUGAACGCUGGCGGCGUGCCUAAUACAUGCAAGUCGAGCGAACGGACGAGAAGCUUGCUUCUCUGAUGUUAGCGGCGGACGGGUGAGUAACACGUGGAUAACCUACCUAUAAGACUGGGAUAACUUCGGGAAACCGGAGCUAAUACCGGAUAAUAUUUUGAACCGCAUGGUUCAAAAGUGAAAGACGGUCUUGCUGUCACUUAUAGAUGGAUCCGCGCUGCAUUAGCUAGUUGGUAAGGUAACGGCUUACCAAGGCAACGAUGCAUAGCCGACCUGAGAGGGUGAUCGGCCACACUGGAACUGAGACACGGUCCAGACUCCUACGGGAGGCAGCAGUAGGGAAUCUUCCGCAAUGGGCGAAAGCCUGACGGAGCAACGCCGCGUGAGUGAUGAAGGUCUUCGGAUCGUAAAACUCUGUUAUUAGGGAAGAACAUAUGUGUAAGUAACUGUGCACAUCUUGACNGUACCUAAUCAGAAAGCCACGGCUAACUACGUGCCAGCAGCCGCGGGUAUACGUAGGUGGGCAGCGUUAUCCGAAUUAUUGGGCGUAAGCGCGCGUAGGCGGUUUUUUAGUCUGAUGUGAAAGCCCACGGCUCACCCGUGGAGGGUCAUUGGAAACUGGAAAACUUGAGUGCAGAAGAGGAAAGUGGAAUUCCAUGUGUAGCGGUGAAAUGCGCAGAGAUAUGGAGGAACACCAGUGGCGAAGGCGACUUUCUGGUCUGUAACUGACGCUGAUGUGCGAAAGCGUGGGGAUCAAACAGGAUUAGAUACCCUGGUAGUCCACGCCGUAAACGAUGAGUGCUAAGUGUUAGGGGGUUUCCGCCCCUUAGUGCUGCAGCUAACGCAUUAAGCACUCCGCCUGGGGAGUACGACCGCAAGGUUGAAACUCAAAGGAAUUGACGGGGACCCGCACAAGCGGUGGAGCAUGUGGUUUAAUUCGAAGCAACGCGAAGAACCUUACCAAAUCUUGACAUCCUUUGACAACUCUAGAGAUAGAGCCUUCCCCUUCGGGGGACAAAGUGACAGGUGGUGCAUGGUUGUCGUCAGCUCGUGUCGUGAGAUGUUGGGUUAAGUCCCGCAACGAGCGCAACCCUUAAGCUUAGUUGCCAUCAUUAAGUUGGGCACUCUAAGUUGACUGCCGGUGACAAACCGGAGGAAGGUGGGGAUGACGUCAAAUCAUCAUGCCCCUUAUGAUUUGGGCUACACACGUGCUACAAUGGACAAUACAAAGGGCAGCGAAACCGCGAGGUCAAGCAAAUCCCAUAAAGUUGUUCUCAGUUCGGAUUGUAGUCUGCAACUCGACUACAUGAAGCUGGAAUCGCUAGUAAUCGUAGAUCAGCAUGCUACGGUGAAUACGUUCCCGGGUCU